UGGGGAAUAUUGCACAAUGGGCGCAAGCCUGAUGCAGCCAUGCCGCGUGUAUGAAGAAGGCCUUCGGGUUGUAAAGUACUUUCAGUCGGGAGGAAGGUGGUAAGGUUAAUAACCUUGGCGAUUGACGUUACCCGCAGAAGAAGCACCGGCUAACUCCGUGCCAGCAGCCGCGGUAAUACGGAGGGUGCAAGCGUUAAUCGGAAUUACUGGGCGUAAAGCGCACGCAGGCGGUCUGUCAAGUCGGAUGUGGAAUCCCCGGGCUCAACCUGGGAACUGCAUUCGAAACUGGCAGGCUAGAGUCUUGUAGAGGGGGGUAGAAUUCCAGGUGUAGCGGUGAAAUACGGUAGAAUCUGGAAGAAUACCGGUGGGGAAGGCAGCCCCCUGGACAAAGAAUGACGCUCAGGUGCGAAAGCGUGGGGAGCAAACAGG
rnacentral:rRNA from 1 species